rnacentral:lncRNA from 1 species
AAAAGUCGAGAAAAGGAAAUCGAGUCGAGAAAAGUUUGAGACUCUCUUCUCCGACUUAAAAUGAAAACCCUAGAAUCAUCUCUAAUCCUCAGCCGCCUCCAUUGGUUAUUGUAGUGUGCAUGCGGAAAUCGUGUUGAUUUCGAGGAUCCCUGGGUCAUUGGCUUGAAGUUUUUCUCGAACAAGGUUCUUAUCUUUCUGGUGGCGGUUUGAAUUACCGGCGUUUACGAGAUCUCCAGAGACUGGAUCGGUGCUUCCCUUGGUUCAUCACCGUUAUAGGUAAAUUUCUAACAUUUAAACACCAAUGAAACCCAAAUCAUCGAUUUUGCUUAUUGAGUAUUUAUCUUCUCCGAUGCUUUUUUUGUUUCCGGCGUUUAGGUGAUCUCCUGCUUCAAAUCGCUGGGUUGUUUUGGCAGUCGGCUUCGGAACAUAAUUCUUGUGUUUCAGGUGGUGAUUUGGAGUUUCUAGUUCGUUGCAAAACACACAUAAUCCCUUCAACCUUCUCUCGUUAAUUUCUUCCAACGAGACUCUCCGAUGAAGCUUGUAUCUGCGAGUUGACAACGAUGAAGCUUUAGGAAUCUCUGGAGUAACGUUGAUAACAUGGCUUGGUUUCGGAUCAGGACGAUUGAAAUCCGGUGACUCUGAAAGUUGCGGCGAUGCGGGAUGAGCAUCGACUUGCAUAUUCUCCUCUACAUUUCUUCUUGAUUGCAACAACAAGAGCAAAGCACCAAUUCGAUUGUCGAUCUUCUCACUUUCAUUCGCGAUUGUUUCUUUCAAUUUGUCUAUUCCCGAUCCCAAGAUUUCGUCGACUUCAUGAACCGUAGCUUCUGGAACCGUUUCAGCCAUGGAUGCCAAGGAUUCGAAUGGCUCUGAUACCUUUGAUAAAGAUAAAACCACACCACUUCGAUUCCAAUCGCAAAUUCACACCAAAUCGAACUAACGUUCAUAAAACGCGAGUCGAUAUCUCAAAUGACAAAGAUCUAACGGAGAGAUCUCGAUCUAGAUGAGUACAACACCAUAAUCUCAGAACAAACUAAGAAGAAGAAGAAAAGAUACAACUGAAAAUGAUUCUCUGGUUAUUUUCUGCAAAUGAUCUUGAGCUCCGUUUAUAACUUCACGAUUUCUUCUCCUAAAACCAACGCACCAAUCAGCAGCUGCCAACUCAUUAUUCAUCUCUCAGCCAAUCAUCUUCCAGCAUCUCUCCACGUCAGCUACUCUUCAUAAUCCCUGUAACAAAUCUCCCUUUCUCAGAGAACCUUGACCACAAGGUUCAUGGAAACUUCAUUGUUAGUUCAUAGAGUAACUCCCAUGCAGUCUCUCCCAAUGGAACCAUAACUUUUCGUUUACCAAAUCUCCAAGUCUCCAUACAGAGAGCUCGUAGGCCUCGUUAUUGGAUAAAAGAAGAGAGGAGCUGAGUUGAAUCGCCAAACUUGAAACACAACUGUUGCUACCAAACAACUGCAUAUAUGUGUGCAUCUUCAUCGUCAAGCUCUGAAAACUCCCAAGUAGUCUCAUCUUCAUCCAUGUUUGACCACUUAACCAGAACCACAAUGUCAUUGUAGCUUCAGCUUGACGUUCAAAUUCCUGAAAACCAGAACCUCCGGGAUCCCAAACUCGGUUGUUAACGUCCCAUCUCUUAAUUUCAGUUUGCAGUUUGUAGUCCUUUGAGCUGGUUUUGAAUUUGAACAUCCAGUUCUUCUUACUUUGCAACAUAAGAAGCAUUGCACUGAACAAGUUGUGUUCAAUACACUGAUAGUAUGAGUUUGCUGGUUGUUUGAAAACAAAAGUCCUCUUCGCAUGUGAUCCAAUCAUCUCUUCCAUUCCUAUUUCUAGAACUGCAGUCGACGGUGAUAUUUCUUUAUCAGCAAUCUGCACCUCCAUCUUUAUUUCAUUUACUUUCACCGAAUACGGUUCUGCUUUCAUCCAUUCUUCAACACUAGAUGAACUAUCUGUGAUACUGUUUAGAACCAACGCUUGAAAACAAUCUAAGCAGCCUUUGUUCUCUGAACACAUCUCGUGUCUAUCUUGAUUCAACAAUGCUUGAACUUCUCCGUCAACAACUACGCGCACAAAGUACUUGACAUACACAAUAUCAAGUCCACCCAACAACUUUCGCUUCCUUGUGGUUCCAAGUCUAUCAAUCCUACGAUCACACAAAUUUGGGAAGGAUAACACAUGCUUGUGUAGCCUCCAUAGUCUCUCAUUCUCUUGUUUAUAUUUAAACAUCCAAGACUUCAAGCCUUUUCUCUUUUUCUUCAAUUUCAAUCUUUCUUUAGCCUGAGACCUUUUACCAAACAGUUGGCGUGCAACUUGAUUGUUAGUGACACUUGUAGAUUCAUCCUUUGCUUUGACAUAUGAAACUAAUACCGCUUCUUCAUGAUCAAACAAGUCAUCAAAACCAAGAACAGAUUGGGAAUCCUCACAAACAGCCGGUGAUGCAUUGCAAAAUCGAAGGCUAGGAUCCAAGUUAGAAACCGGUAUAUGAAAUUGUGGAAUCACUUCUUCCUUCAAGAUCAUUUCCUGAACCACAUUUUCUUCCGAUAGAGCAUCUGAUGAUUGCGACUCGUCCAAAUUUUUGUGAUUCUCCAACUUUGGGUUCUCCUCUCGAGCUUCUUGUACCAAAUUCACCAUACGAUGCUCAAAUGUAACACUAAGUUCACCAUUAGGGAGUUGAUCUUCAUCACCAUCAAUCAUGAGAAUCCCUAAAUUCUUGUGUUUCAGGUGGUGAUUUGGAGUUUCUAGUUCGUUGCAAAACACACAUAAUCCCUUCAACCUUCUCUCGUUAAUUUCUUCCAACGAGACUCUCCGAUGAAGCUUGUAUCUGCGAGUUGACAACGAUGAAGCUUUAGGAAUCUCUGAAGUAACGUUGAUAACAUGGCUUGGUUUCGGAUCAGGACGAUUGAAAUCCGGUGACUCUGAAAGUUGCGGCGAUGCGGGAUGAGCAUCGACUUGCAUAUUCUCCUCUACAUUUCUUCUUGAUUGCAACAACAAGAGCAAAGCACCAAUUCGAUUGUCGAUCUUCUCACUUUCAUUCGCGAUUGUUUCUUUCAAUUUGUCUAUUCCCGAUCCCAAGAUUUCGUCGACUUCAUGAACCGUAGCUUCUGGAACCGUUUCAGCCAUGGAUGCCAAGGAUUCGAAUGGCUCUGAUACCUUUGAUAAAGAUAAAACCACACCACUUCGAUUCCAAUCGCAAAUUCACACCAAAUCGAACUAACGUUCAUAAAACGCGAGUCGAUAUCUCAAAUGACAAAGAUCUAACGGAGAGAUCUCGAUCUAGAUGAGUACAACACCAUAAUCUCAGAACAAACUAAGAAGAAGAAGAAAAGAUACAACUGAAAAUGAUUCUCUGGUUAUUUUCUGCAAAUGAUCUUGAGCUCCGUUUAUAACUUCACAAUUUCUUCUCCUAAAACCAACGCACCAAUCAGCAGCUGCCAACUCAUUAUUCAUCUCUCAGCCAAUCAUCUUCCAGCAUCUCUCCACGUCAGCUACUCUUCAUAAUCCCUGUAACACAAGGUAAACUCUUUAACAAUGGGUCUAAAGCUUUAAUUUCUCGAUGUGUUGUGGACUCUUCGAAAUCGAUUUUUGAUAUUGAUAAAUUGUUAUUGUCGAUUACGGCUUCUCCGGUACCGUCUACUCUUCGGAGUCAAAGGCUAGUGAUGAUGAAAUUUAUAUGUCUAUAUUAUUGAUAGUAAUUCAACUUAUACCAUUAUAUGACUGAUUUCAGGUCGAUGAAGAGGAGAAGACUAGGUUGUGGAUAUUUGGAUAUAUGAUUGAUUUCAGGUCGAUGAAGAGGAGAAGACUAGGUUGUGGAUAUUUGGAAGAUGCUGGAGAAUUUGAAUGGGACAGUCUCAGAGAUGAGCAAGAAUUUGAGCAGCAUAAUGGAUGUAUUGGAGAGUAAAUUUGAAUCUUUAGAUUCCCAGCUUAGUAAGAGGUUUGAAGCUGUGGAGACAGAUUUAAAGCUUCUUAUGGAGUCUCAGCCCACUAGAGCUGUCAAAAUGGGCUGUCCACGUCCAUUAGCCCGGUCCAAUAUUGACCAUUUUAGUUAUGGACAAAUAAUGUCCAUGUCCAUUAUAGCCCAUGUCCAUUAUAGCCCAUGCCCAUUAUAGCCCAUGUUUUAAUGGGCUGUCCAUUGGUGUCCAUUGGUCACCACAAGAACAAAUUAUGAAAAACGCCAAAAUCUGCAAAAAUCUCAAAUUCAAUCCAAAAGUUUAAGACAAAUAUCCAAAUCAAAGCAACAAAGUAUCAAAU